GCCUGGGUGGCUCAGUCAGUUGAGCAUCUGACUUUUGCUCAGGUCAUGAUCUUGCGGUCGGUGGGUUCGUGCCCCGUGUCGGGCU
rnacentral:tRNA from 1 species